rnacentral:lncRNA from 1 species
GCUUCACGAUCCUCUCUCUUUCCUUGGUUCAAAUCCGUUCCUUUAUCUUCAAAAUCUCAUUUUUGCAAUUUGCUUUCUUCUCUCCCAAAAGCGCUUCAAUGCCAGAUAAAUAAAAUUCUUAACCCUAUAGGUUAUAGAAAUUGAGUAGGAUAGGAAACUAAAAUUUGGGAUUGCCCGUAUUGAUCAUAUCCGUAUGAUCGCU